AACAGGAUUAGAUACCCUGGUAGUCCACGCUGUAAACGAUGUCGACUUGGAGGUUGUUCCCUUGAGGAGUGGCUUCCGGAGCUAACGCGUUAAGUCGACCGCCUGGGGAGUACGGCCGCAAGGUUAAAACUCAAAUGAAUUGACGGGGGCCCGCACAAGCGGUGGAGCAUGUGGUUUAAUUCGAUGCAACGCGAAGAACCUUACCUACUCUUGACGUCCAGAGAACUUAGCAGAGAUGCUUUGGUGCCUUCGGGAACUCUGAGACAGGUGCCGCAUGGCUGUCGUCAGCUCGUGUUGUGAAAUGUUGGGUUAAGUCCCGCAACGAGCGCAACCCUUAUCCUUUGUUGCCAGCGAUUCGGUCGGGAACUCAAAGGAGACUGCCAGUGAUAAACUGGAGGAAGGUGGGGAUGACGUCAAGUCAUCAUGGCCCUUACGAGUAGGGCUACACACGUGCUACAAUGGCAUAUACAAAGAGAAGCGACCUCGCGAGAGCAAGCGGACCUCAUAAAGUAUGUCGUAGUCCGGAUUGGAGUCUGCAACUCGACUCCAUGAAGUCGGAAUCGCUAGUAAUCGUGGAUCAGAAUGCCACGGUGAAUACGUUCCCGGGCCUUGUACACACCGCCCGUCACACCAUGGGAGUGGGUUGCAAAAGAAGUAGGUAGCUUAACCUUCGGGAGGGCGCUUACCACUUUGUGAUUCAUGACUGGGGUGAAGUCGUAACAAGGUAACC
rnacentral:rRNA from 1 species